ensembl:lncRNA
CAACGUCUCAAGCCAACGUCACAUUGACAUCAAAUACUGAUGUUUUGUCGUCAGGUAUGGCAACCUAAAUUCAACAUCUAGUAGACGUCAUUAUGGUAACGUCCAAUCAACGUCAAGUUAUAACAUCAUUUGAUGUUGAUCUGUAGUUAGUUUUAGGUUGUGGCAUUAACUAACCAAAAUCCAACGUCGAGCCAACGUCUCAAGCCAACGUCACAUUGACAUCAAAAACUUAUGUUUUGUCGUCAGGUAUGGCAACCAUAAUCCAACGUUUUCUAGACAUCAUAAUGGCAACAUCCACACAACGUCAAAUUAAAACAUCAUUUGAUGUUGAUCUGUAGUUAGUUUUAGGUUGUGGCAUUAACUAACCAAAAUCCAACGUUGAGCCAACGUCUCAAGCCAACGUCACACUGACAUCAAAUACUGAUGUUUUGUCGUCAGGUAUGGCAACCAAAAUCCAACAUCUUGUAGACGUCAUUAUGGUAACGUCCGAUCAACGUCAAGUUAUAACAUCAUUUGAUGUUGAUCUGUAGUUAGUUUUAGGUUGUGGCAUUAACUAACCAAAAUCCAACAUCAAGACAACGUCUCAAGCCAACGUCAGAUUGACAUCAAAUACUGAUGUUUAGUCGUCAGGUAUGGCAACCAAAAUCCAAUGUCUUCAAGACGUCAUAAUGGUAACGUCCAAUCAACGUCAAAUUAUAACGUCAUUUGACUUUGAUCUUUAGUUUGUUUUUAGGUUGUGACAUUAACUAACCUAAACCCAACGUCGAGCCAACGUCUCAGGCCAACGUCAGAUUGACAUCAAAAACGUAUGUUUUGUCGUCAGGUAUGGCAACCAAAAUCCAAUGUCUUCAAGACGUCAUAAUGGUAACGUCCAAUCAACGUCAAAUUAUAACGUCAUUUGACUUUGAUCUUUAGUUUGUUUUUAGGUUGUGACAUUAACUAACCUAAACCCAACGUCGAGCCAACGUCUCAGGCCAACGUCACAUUGACAUCAAAUACUGAUAUUUAGUCGUCAGGUAUGGCAACCAUAAUCCAACGUUUUCUAGACGUCAUAAUGGCAACGUCUACACAACGUCAAAUUAAAACAUCAUUUGAUGUUGAUCUGUAGUUAGUUUUAGGUUGUGGCAUUAACUAACCAAAAUCCAACGUCGAGCCAACGUCUCAAGCCAACGUCACAUUGACAUCAAAAACUUAUGUUCUGUGUUUGAUUUUUUUAUCUGUUGGUAUUUGAUAGAAUCCAUGAUGUCAUGUAUCUAAACAAGAUAUCCAGGACCUCCAGCAGAAAUAUAGGCCCAGAAAAUAAAAAAUACAGCAGUAUAUUUCAUUGUACACAUGGGGUACUUUUUUCUCUCUGUGCUCACCAAACCCAUCUUGAGUGUUUGCUGCUAAAAAGCUCAUUUUUUAGUUUCAUCUGAUCAUAGAAGCCAUUCCCAUGUAAAGUUCCAGUCUUGGCUGAUAACUGAAUAUGCUUUAGUUUGUUUUUGAAUGAGCUAGGAGAAUUUUUCUUGUAACCCUCCCAAACAAAAUGUGUUGAUGUAGGUUCUGUUUGACAAUUUUUUUAACGGUUUUCUGAACCAGAGACUCUGCUAUUUUCUGCAAUUCUCCAGCUGUGACCCUACUAGUUUUUAGCUACUCAAACUCUCCUUAUCAUCGCACAUUAGGAUGAUUUAAACACACGUCCUCUUCCAGGCAGUUUUGUAACAUUUUCUGUUGAUUGGAAAUUCUUAAUUAUUGCCCUGAUGGUGGAAAUAGGAAUUUUCACUGCUCUAGCUCUUUUCUUAAAGCCACUUCACCAAUUUGUGAAGCUCAAUUAUCUUUUGCUGCACAUCAGAAAUACAUUCUUUGGUUUUU